CUCAAUUCCAUACAGAGGGGUGGUCUCCUCUCUCAGGUAUAAACUAAAGGUACCAAUUUGGAAGUAAUUGUAUACCGAGUACUUAACACCAUGAGAUGGGAUGAGACCACCAAAUCAAAAAUAGAAAAGAGAAGAGCCACAAGGGCUGGUUUCUAUGGCACACUCACUAAAAGCUCAGAAAUAUGAGGAGGAACGAGGAAAGUUCAAGGACACAAGGAAGAAUAAGCAAAAGUAACUAAGAGGGAGUGAGCAGAGAAGCAAGAGAAAAAGCAAGAAUAUCACAGCGACCAAACAAGAGACAAAAAGAAAGAGAAGGUGGUCAGUUGAGUCAGGAAUGAUCCAAAUAGAGAAAAAUCUUAUGACGGACAGAGAGAAAUGCUGAAUCAAGGCCCUUCAGUCAGUGAGAGGAUGAGAUCUGGUACACAACUAGAGAGACUUCAUUCUCAGAAAUGUGACUUUCAUUCACAAUCAGCCAAAUACUUGAGAAAGUUCAAGCUGCAGUUGGCUGGAGAUCCUGAAUGAAAGAACUUUUGAUUCAGGUUAGUUGAGCUUUGAAGGACCACUCUGCACAGCAAAUCUCUGCCAAGCUGACCACAAAGAGUUCCUUUCAAAAGCAAGACUCUGCCCUGAGC
rnacentral:lncRNA from 1 species